UGGGCAACUUUUUAUGUAAAAAUGGCGGUAAUAUUUUGCACAUCCCGCCACUUACAAAUUUUUUUUUUCAUUUCUGAGAUUGAGAAUCCCGAGACACCCAUCUCCUUCUCUUCCCCAUUUUUGAGACCUGAGACACCCAUUUCUGCCCAUUUCCUUCAACAUAUCGAUACAUCACACAAAUUUCUGAGCUUUCCUUCAACAUAUCUGCCCAUUUCCUUCAACAUAUCGACACAAAGAAGAGACCCAUUUCUUCGGCUUGGUCGUAGGUCUCCGAACUCCUCAUCAGCUCUCAUUGAGCCCUAAGAUACCCGAAACCAAACCAGAGCCGUCGCCCCCUCCGCCUCUCUCUCUAUCACGCACUUCGAACUCAACUUUCUCCUCCUCACGCCCUAAGGCCUUCUGUUGAGCUACUGAACCACACCAUAACCUUGCAAUCGUCGUCGUUGUUGUUCUCCCUCUCUGUAUCUAUUAUGCCGGCUAGAAGAAAGAACCCAGGCAAGGGCACUCUUCCUUUCGCGCCAGAACAGGAAAGGCCUUGGCUCUGAAUCAAGAAGAUGCUGAUUCCAAAGUGGUUAUCAAGUAAGUAUAUGGGUAGCUAUUCUUUUAUUGGUAGUAUUUUUUUUUCACCAUUGAUUGUUUUUAUACUUGGGUAGCUAGUAUGAAUGGAAUCUAUUUAUAUAUAUAUAUAUGUAUGUAUAUAAAUGAGGUUUUAUUUUUUCAAAUAUAUUUUUUUAUUGCUCUAAAUUUUUGCUGAAUUUCUGUAAAUUUUUGUUUUUCCCUUCUGAUUAUCCCAGUCCAGUCCACCUUCUCCAGAGUCAUUAAUAUGUAACUAUUGGUAAAUGCUCUACAGGUGUUCGAUUAAAUAAUUCUAAGAAAAUAUAGAAUCUACAAUGCUUUGUUUUAUUCUUUAUAAGCCUUAAAAUCUUCCAGAUUGUUUUGAUAACCAAAGAAUCAACUUGUUUCUUAAAUUGAAUUUAUUGUUUCUACACCUUAUAGAAUCUAUUUUGGUAGCUAGGUUGUACUACUCUAGACCAAUUAUAUGCGGGAACAACAAUCAGACCUCUAUUCAUGAUAUUCCUUUUAUUAUUCAUCCUCAUUAUUGUUUACAAGGUUUAUCUUCAAUUCCCAUUUAUCUUAUCAUAUAUUUUUUUAAAAAGAAAAAUUAAAUUAGUACUUGCAUCAUGGAAUCAUUUUCUUAAGCUUUGCUAAAUUUGAUCUCUAAGCUUGGCAUGAUGAGCAUUAGCAAAUGAAAAGUUCCAAUAACUCUUAUUGAUCUUGAUUUUGUUAACACUUUUUUAGAGUUAUCAGAAAGUUUUUUUUUUUUGAAGUAUACAAUCACAGGUGAAAAUAAUUAGAGGCGCAAUCUCAGUAGAAUGUAAGAAUGAGCAAUAUGAAUGUAUGCUACUUCAUGGAAACUUGGAGUAAACUUAUUACUUUUUAUUUCUAUUUUCAUUUUGCUCUUUAUUUUUAUUAUAGUUAUUGGUUCGGUGCCUUGGCUCACAAACAGAUGAACUCUAUGUUGUGGUAGUUUUUACUUCAGUUGUUUUUCAGGUAGUCUAGAUUAAAGGUGCUUUGUUAAUAAGCCUUCUCAGUUUUUUCCAGGUAGUCAGGUUUAGGUCAUCUGGUUUUCUAGUUUUUUCCAGCUUGGUUUCAGUUUAUUGUCUUGCCAGUUUUCUAGUAUUUUAGCGGUUUUAGGUUCAGGCAAGACUUGGUGUACUUGUCAUCACCUUUCAGUUCACAAGGCUACAAUCUUGGAUUUGAUACGGUAAGAGCUCUGUUUUAGUUUAAUGGGAUUGUUGUUACUGGGAAAAUGCAUCAAUUAAAGGCAAUGAUAAAAUUAAGGCAUGGGUUUAUCUUUUUUCUUCAUAAUUUGAAAUUAGAAAGCUUUUAUGUUAAUUACUCUGCUGUUAGAGAUCACAUGUUGCUAGAGUUUCUUGACCAAAAUUUAUUGUUCGAGACUGUUUUAUAAAAUAGAUUCAAAGAACUUCUAUUCUUGUUUUGAUGCAUUUAUAACAAAUGAAUACUUUGUUCCGUGGCUAUGUAUUGCAAUUGAAAUUUUUCUCAGUUUUUUGUUUUGUAUGCAAAUGUUGAUGAUUAUUUAUUUUAUUAAUACUUUAAUGGUAUUCUCUCUAGUAUUCUCAUAUUGUAAAACCUGUAAAAAAAAUUUCAAUUCUAUUCUCAUAAUUAUAAAUAUACAAACUUAAGGAUAUUAAUUGGCAUUUACAAUAUAUAUAUAUAUAUAUAUAUAUAUGAGUCACCACUUUUAUUGCCAACCAACAAGAUGAUUUGCUUCUGCGAAUAACUUUUUUUUUUUAACGAUCUGCUAAGAUAAAUUAUGAGCAAUUUGCAACAGGUAUUUAAUGUUUGGCUCUUACUAUUAUUGCUAUUAUUAUUAAUAUUUUCUUUAAAAAUGUUUUUAAGUAGAACUCAAAUUAAGAAAAUAUGAUAUUUGUGAUCUUUCUCUUUCUGCAUUCUUUAGUUUAAUAUGUUAGCCUUCCAAUAUAUGGAUAUGGUGAUAGUUGGUGCUCCAUUUCUAGAGACAUGGAGAGUUGUUUGUUAUUAGUAUUAAAAUUGUUUAUUUAGUUGUGUAUUUGGCCUCGUUCUUUUGUCAGAGCAAGCGCUUUCGACUAUUACAAGGUACUAAUUCUUUUCUUCAUUAAUAAUUUUAUAUAUUUCAUUUUACAGUUCCCAAAGUUUGUAUUUGUCAACUUGGUCAAUUUUGUAAGGACGUAGAAUCUACAUUGUAGAUUGUAUAAUAUUUUUAUGUUAUAUAUGUUUGGAAUCUGAUCACUCCUCUCUCAUUAAGUUAGUUUCAUGGGCUUGUACACAUAUGACUUAAAUAGUUUAAUAUCUUCUUGUAAAAGGAUAUUGGAAAUGCUAGUUGUAGUUUGUGAUAAUAGUUAAGAUUUUUUUUAUUCACACAGGCAAGGUUCAGGCAGUGCUUGUCGAAGCUUAUAUGGUGGAUUUGUGAAGUUGAUGAUCAUGGGAAAAGAAGAGAAUGGAAGUGACAGUGUUGCAGUUCAGCUAGCAGAUGAGAAACAUUGGGAUGAUCUAGUCAUAAUCGUUGCAUUGGUGCUGAUAUUACUUACAAUUUCCAUCAAAAGUGCACCCAUGUACUUGUUGAUGAGCUGACUCCUCUUAGAGAAGAGUUACUAGAUGUUAUUGUGGCAAAGAAAGCUUGUGUUCAGAUUAGCUGGGUUGAGAGAGUUGCAGAAGAAAAGAUUUGCAAUGAAAUCCCUAGCUGCAGCAACCAUACUCCAACUCUCUCAGCGGAAGGUGUAUCAGUCAAACUUGCAGACCAGGGAACUCGUGAAAACUGUAUGGAAGGAUACACGUUUGUGUUGGACUCGAUAAACAGUGAAUCAAAGCAUGAAGAGAACAGUUAUGUUGUUUGUGUCAUCCCUGGAGGGUCACCCUACAAAUUUGAUUGCUUCAAUAAACUCAAAGUAUCUAGUGUGAAGGAAAUAGACUUGAUGCGUGUCGUUUUAACUGGGACAUUGGAUCGAUCCAUUUUGAUAUCACCUUGUGGGAACCAGUCGGCUUACUCACUACCAUGUCUUGUUUGAUGAGAACAAUUUCCCUGGUGAUGCCUUGCAAGUUCUCACCAACAAUCUCUGCUACACGAUGGAAGGAGCAAUGUGCCAAGUACUCUACUUACUCCACAUACUUUGAGGGCAGACUCAGCUCUGCCAUGCCCAACUCUGUGUACAACCAAAGUAACAACUCAGAAAAUUGAAACCAUUCGGUAGUUGGACAAACUACAAAAUCUCUUGCAUCAAACGGAAAGGAAAAGGCAAAAGUCAGCCUUCUUUUUACAUGGGCGGAUCUUGCAGGCAAAGGACACCAAGUGAAUUAGAUAGAGAGGUUAAGAACUUGAGGGUGGCAUUUACUGACCUGUUUUUGAAGCAUAACACUUUCAAAGAAACUGCAAAGCCAUCGAGAUAUUGAUGCAAAGAAUGGAAGAAUGUAUUUCACUAAUUUUUGUAUAUAUUUCUUGUUUUGUAUUUAGUGAUAAAGGAAUUUGAAUUGGGCAUUUAUGUUGUAAUAUGAUUUCUUAAGCCUAGACUAGUAGACUAAAUAUUGUAAUUACAUUUGAGUAAUUAAUAAAAAUCUAUUUAUGUUACCUUA